UUAUGCAUCUUUUCUCUUGAUUAAAAAUAAGUGGUGUGCUUACUUAAUUGAUAAUUAUUAAUAUCCACUAUAAUUUGGCGUUGUCGGACUGUGUGAUGAGGGAUGAGGACGCUUGGCCAGCCUGAAGACUUCAUUCCACCUACGUUUAAAAAAAGGCAUUCCUGAAACCUGCCAGCAGCUCCUGGCCGAUCGGAUCCCAAUCCAAAACACUUCUGUGAUCAUUCCUGCGUGGAGCUGCAGGCCCUGCAGGUGGCUGACCAGGAUCUGGACUCCUGUCCCCCUCUGUGAAGAUCUCAACCUGCUCAACAGCAUGAGGACCGAGGCGAGGCUGAGGAUCGGCGGUGAUGUCAUCAGUGUAGGAAAGAAAAAGAAAGUUGACAAAAGAGACACUGAUCUGCACAAGGCUGGCCUAACCCUUUUUUCUGAGGAAGAUCUGACCAUCGUGGACAUGGCCAUGAACGCCGGAGCAGAGACUGUGUGUGUGGACAGUGGUCCCGUUCUAAUGUAUGUCACAACUGUGGACAACUGGGACACUGGAAGAACGACUGCCUGCAGGAACCACAGCUGCCUGAUGACAGCAACUGAUGGGGGAUCAGACCCUGGAUCAGGAGGUCAACCUCGUUAAGAAGGGACCUGCUAAGGAGUGCUGUGAGAGCUGCAUUACCCCCAGUGGCUGAUAAAUCCUGCACCAGUUCCAGCCAGGACAGUGGGUGCUGAUCCAAGACACCAGAAGAGCCACUGGAGAGAAAAACGUUGGACUGGUCCGUUCCAGAACCUGCUGGUGACCCAUACUGCUGUGAAGGUACAAGGAAGGAACACCUGGAACAAUGCCGAAUCGUGCAAAGUGUUCAAGGGAACACCACCUGAGCAGCAUCCGGGUCAGAACCUCCUGCCUAAAGGGGCUUCCAACGACCGCCCACCUGUACCAGGUAGGUAAAAGGGCAGC